UACAAGUCUUCUCCGCAAAAUAAGAAGAAGAAGAUAAUGUAAAAUAAACGAAGUUAAAUCUAAUCUGGUUACGGUUUGAAUUCAAUUGGAUGAAAAAUGUUUUGUUUUUUCUUUUCUUUAAAGGACGCAAAGUUCGAUGAAGUGGGAGAGAGAGGAAGAGGAAAGGGACUUGUGCAUGGAAGUGAUUAAGCAAAGGCUCAUUCAUCAGUUGUUUUCACACUUAAUAACAUUUCUGCCACACCACACUUUCCCUCGAUCCUCGUCAAUUCCAUGCCCUUU